GAUGAACGCUGGCGGCGUGCCAAUACAUGCAAGUCGAGCGAACGGACGAGAAGCUUGCUUCUCUGAUGUUAGCGGCGGACGGGUGAGUAACACGUGGAUAACCUACCUAUAAGACUGGGAUAACUUCGGGAAACCGUAGCUAAUACCGGAUAAUAUUUUGAACCGCAUGGUUCAAAAGUGAAAGACGGUCUUGCUGUCACUUAUAGAUGGAUCCGCGCUGCAUUAGCUAGUUGGUAAGGUAACGGCUUACCAAGGCAACGAUGCAUAGCCGACCUGAGAGGGUGAUCGGCCACACUGGAACUGAGACACGGUCCAGACUCCUACGGGAGGCAGCAGUAGGGAAUCUUCCGCAAUGGGCGAAAGCCUGACGGAGCAACGCCGCGUGAGUGAUGAAGGUCUUCGGAUCGUAAAACUCUGUUAUUAGGGAAGAACAUAUGUGUAAGUAACUGUGCACAUCUUGACGGUACCUAAUCAGAAAGCCACGGCUAACUACGUG
rnacentral:rRNA from 1 species